AAGGCUUGAUGCCCUAGAAUCUAAAUCAAAAUGGAUACGUGUUAUCAAUAUUAAGGAAUUGAGCAUUCUCGUCUGGCUGACAAGGCAAAAUACCUCUACGUUUCAGAAGAACGUUAUCAAAAGGUAAGUUCAUUAAAUUCAAUACUUAAAACGUUGAAACCGUUUAGAAAACUGGUGUAAUAUCUUUGCAUAACCUUCGAAUGUGCGGCCACAGCGUACAUUGAAGAUAUUAAAAUUUAUUUGUCACACCCCAAUUUUCGAUGGAUAAAUUUCAAAAACUAAAAACAAAUACUGGAAAUGUAAAUGUCGAUAAAUUCAUCAACCGAGUUAAACAUUUAAUCUCCUUAAUUACAUCAACUUCCAAAAGUCUAGUAAUAAACAACUUCGCUCACAAGAGCUUAAAACAACUACCAUAAAAAUACAAAUAAAUGUAUCUCGUCAAAAACCCAGCCUUAACCCUGUCUUAACCCUGCUGAUCAUCACCUGCAGGUCUAACCCCUACACCAUGAAUUGGUGCACCGGGUUGUAAACAACAAACCCGGUAAGCUAAAAAGCUCGUAUGAGUAACUCCCAAUUAAUAACUCAACAAUCCUAACAUCACAUAUAAUUAAAAUUGAUAAUUCCUGCCUUGAUAACUUAGUUCAGGAAUCACCUAAAAGCAAGAGAAAUCAAGAGAAGCAAUUAAGAAAAACACAAUAAUUCAAAAUCACUCAAAAUCAUAAAUGAAACAAAUAAUUAAAAAGAACGCAACAACUCACAAUCAAGCCAAAUCAAAAUGAAAUCCUGCAAAAAUGCAUAGUUCAGGAAAUACUUAAAAACAAGAAAUUUUAAAAGACAACAUAUAAGAACAUCAAACAAUCAUUUCUCUACUCUUACUUAUGAGUUCGCCAACACUUAGUCAUCCCCCAUAAGUAACCAACAAAUGCGUACUCAUGGGUUCGUCAACACUUAGUCAUCCCCCAUGAAGUACCGACUGACAGACUAGAGCUCUAUACUGACCGUAACCAAUCACCCGGCCAAGGCUUGGUUCCCGGUNNNNN
rnacentral:lncRNA from 1 species